GAUGAACGCUGGCGGCGUGCCUAAUACAUGCAAGUCGAGCGAACGGACGAGAAGCUUGCUUCUCUGAUGUUAGCGGCGGACGGGUGAGUAACACGUGGAUAACCUACCUAUAAGACUGGGAUAACUUCGGGAAACCGGAGCUAAUACCGGAUAAUAUUUUGAACCGCAUGGUUCAAAAGUGAAAGACGGUCUUGCUGUCACUUAUAGAUGGAUCCGCGCUGCAUUAGCUAGUUGGUAAGGUAACGGCUUACCAAGGCAACGAUGCAUAGCCGACCUGAGAGGAUGAUCGGCCACACUGGAACUGAGACACGGUCCAGACUCCUACGGGAGGCAGCAGUAGGGAAUCUUCCGCAAUGGGCGAAAGCCUGACGGAGCAACGCCGCGUGUGUGAUAAAGGUCUUCGGAUCGUAAAACUCUGUUAUUAGGGAAGAACAUAUGUGUAAGUAACUGUGCACAUCUUGACGGUACCUAAUCAGAAAGCCACGGCUAACUACGUG
rnacentral:rRNA from 1 species